UGCCUGCUACAAACAUGGCGACCGCAGAACGCUCUAGAGCUCAGAUCUUUCGUCAGCUGUUGGCGUGAGCUGUGUUGGAAAUUAUGUUCCCCUGAAACCGCGCGCCGCAGCGCCUGUCUGUGGCAAGAAGUGGAUGCGAAGGGCAGGGCGGACGUCCUGCUUCGGGUUUCAGCAUCGAGGCUCCGAGCAGAGGGGUAGCGCUGAUGUCGGCUCCAGGCCGGGCGAUGCGGGGGAGGGCAGCAGCUCGCCCCCUUCCCCGCUGUUUCCAGAAUCCCUACGGGUGUCAGCGUGGCCAGAGCUGUCCACCUGUACACGCUGGACCCCAGUAUACCUGUCAGCUUCAGCUGAGUAGAUGUAUCUGGGUUUUUUUUUUUUUUUUUUUCCCCUCAGUCAUGAGGGAUGGAGGCUUCAGUUUAGCAGACAAACUGUCUGGGGCCCAAAAGAGAAAAAAAUCUAAGCCUGUUCAAGAAGUGAAGCAAAAGCUAUGCAGAACCCUGACAUUCCUUGUUCCUGUAACCUUUCUGAGUUAUGAACCAAUCCCGGUUAUGAUGGAACUGGCAUGGCCGUCAUAUGUAUGCCUACCUGGCAUGAUAUAUUUAGGAAUGAAAAAUGCACGUUACAUCUGUGAAGUGAAGAAACUGCACAACGUAAAAGUUGAGAAUUAUUUUUUAUUUGGUGGCUUUUCUGAAGACCUAAGCCAGGAAGACAGCCUCUCAGAUCGCUUUGGGGGACUGCUCCAAAGGGGCAAGGGAGGAGCCAGGAUAUAUACGAGUUUUGCAACAAAAACCAGAACUGGACCCAGUUUUGAAAGAGAAAAUUAGCUACGUACCACAUGGUGCUCGAAAUAGCUGAACAAAUGCAGAAUGAACUGAUAAGCUAACAGGCCUCCAAACCCAGAACAAGUUCCCGGAGCCGGUAAAAGCAGCCGAAUUCUUGAGUGUGAUCAUAGAUGGGAACACUGGUAUCUCUUCCAAAGAAAAUCUCUCCCUCUUUGUGUGCCGUUUUCACCAGAGUGAAGAAGGCAAUGCACCCUUACUGCUUGCGCCCUGGACGGAUUGCUCCCACUCCCACACUCCCCGC